GAAAAAAUCCCGAAGUUCUUCAGAAUGUUCCAGAGAGAGUGGCCAAUUUACAAAACAAUCCCUAAAUUCAGGGGAAAAAGAUAAUCAAAAUCCCUAAUUCCGAUUACCGUCCCUUCAUCCUCGAACCAGACAGAGAAAUCGCAAGAAAGGAGAGAGAGGAAGAUGUCACACUUCGGAAGAACAGGUCCUCCUGAUAUCGCCGACACUUACUCUCUCCUCGUCCUCAACAUCACUUUCCGAACUACACCAGAUGACUUGUUUCCGUUGUUUGACAAGUAUGGCAAGGUUGUUGACAUCUUCAUCCCUCGUGACCGAAGGACUGGGGAAUCCCGUGGUUUUGCCUUUGUUCGAUACAAGUAUGCUGAUGAAGCACAGAAGGCUGUGGAUAGGCUUGAUGGGAGGGUGGUGGAUGGUAGAGAAAUGGCUGUCCAAUUCGCGAAAUAUGGUCCGAAUGCUGAGAAAAUGUAUCGAGAUGAUUACGAUAGAGAUAGGGCAUAUUCCAGAAGAAGUCGUAGUAGAAGCUUGGAUCGGUAUGAUCGUGACAGGUCCCGUGGGAGGGACAGAGAUUAUCGCCGCCGAAGUAGGAGUCGCAGCUAUACUCCUGAAAAAUAUAGAAGUCGGGGGCGAGGCCGCUAUGAUGAUGUAAGAAGCUAUCGGAGCAGAUCAGCUGAAAGUGGUUCUCCAAGGCGAAGUCGGAGUCUGCGUAGAAGUAUUUCACCACGGCGAAGUGCUUCACCUCGUAGUCCAUCUCGUUCGAGGAGUCGUAGUCCAGUGAAGCUCAGCCCUGAUGAACGUGCAGCAGUCCCUCGUAGUUCUGCAUCUCCUCAGGCUGUUUCUCCACGGGGUGUAGCCGGAGUUUCUCGUAGCCUUUCUCCUCAAAAAUCAGUUGAGGCGUGAACUCAACAGAUAACCGGAGUGGUGAUGAAGUGCAUAUGAACAUUUCUUGAAGGUCAUUUGAUAAUGUAAAAUGAGUGCAUCAGUAGCAUGGAGUAUUGAGUUAGACUUAUGGAUAGGGGAUGGUCCGGAUUGAUAUUUUUAUGGCUAUGAUGUUUUUGCAACGAGCUGUUGGUUUGCUUCGAUACUUGUGGACCUUCUUGAUGCUUAGAUUGAGAAGAAACGAGGAAGUUUGGUAAGAUGAAUGAUGUGAUGUUGAUGUUGAUGUUGAUGUUGAUGCUGCUGAAUUGCUGUUAGCAUUUUGUGAUUGUUUGAUGGAAGAUAAUAUCCUUAUUCUGGUUGCGGCAAUGGAUUUACCAGCUUCAUUUACCGGAUGCUGUUCCAAAUGACCUUAUCAUUAUAGAUUUCUGCUAGUUGGUGAGAUUUAUAAUUCCGUCACUUCUUUUGAAAUGUGAUACAAGCUGUCCAAUUAGGGGGCUGAUUCUGAGAACUCUGUUCUCAAUGUUUUUUUUAUUGGUCGUAUCAUAAGAAAACGAGAUUGGAUAGAUGAAUGGAUAUGUAGCCGUCUUCUUGGUCCUGCUCCUGCCUGUUCUCAUGCAUCCACCACAACUGGAUGUGGUAAUGGUCUCUGGCUGCUUAUUGUGUUUUGUGCUUGUUUACAACUAUUCAACGUAGGUAGUGCUUAUUAGCUUUUGACUGUUGUCUCCUGCUGUUGGUUAAUUGUAUAGCUCAUGGCUCGUGAUUGUAGCUGUGAAGCAGUUGCGGAGUUGUGCCCUAGUUUGAGCUUUGAGGUAUCCAUGUUUCAUAGUCGUAGCUUGGGCUGAGAUGGCCAGUAGUUGGGGUCUGAUGGGGUAUCUGAGGUUUAUCUGGUGGUUGUUUUGACCCUCAUGUAGCUGUUACGACCUUGUGGUUUUUCUUGAUCGGCAGUAGAGUUGUUUGAUGUUGAGCUCACCUUUGUUUGAUUUUGCGUAUGGCCUAUGUGACCAAGGGUGCAGUUAUAGUAUUUAUUUACAUGGUGUUUUCUUGAUUCUUUUUGUUAUGAAUUGUCAAAAGCGGUUUGUUUACCAGUUGAUAAUUGUUGUACUGCACUUUUGAGUCUUCAGCUGUGUUGGUUUAAUACACUAUAAAUUGAGUCCGGUGUGCAACAGUUUAGUGAUGACCAAUGAGAACUGGAAGAAAAAAAAAAAUGAAACAAGUAACCAAUUGCUCAUUACCAGGCCACGCCACGCCACACCACUACUAGUCCGCCAGUUACAAUCCCAUCAUAUGAGUUACAUACAUGUUUAAACUUUCAUUUUUGUUUACGACAACCAUAAACUCAUCCCCAUUUUAAAAUAUAACCCCGGGUCAAAUUCAUGCUUACAGCCGAAAGUGGAGUCAUAAUUAUAAUUUUAACCAAUUUUCUCCCAAUUAAAUAAAUAUGGGAAAAUAACAAAUAUUUUAUAUUUCUAAGGAAGAAUGGUCAAUUAAAUUCAGUUUUGAGUUGUUUCUAUUUUUUAAAAUUAUAUUACCAUAGAAAUGUUGGUCAUAAGUUAAAGACAAGGAGGCCAAAUGAGUACAUGGUGUAGGAAUUGAACGUCGAGGAACUCCUAAGUUUCAAGUGGCUUGCAUCAAUAUGAACAUAAGUAGACUCGUAUUGGUAUCUUUAAUUUUGUGUUUCAGUCGUGUGGUUUCUUGUUUCUUCCUGACCGGCUGUUGAGCAGUUUGUUGUCGAGCGCACUGGCCUUUGUUUAAUCUUGCGUAUGGCCAAUUGCAAGAGUAUGAUGACUUUUUGAGGAAGCAAAUGGAUACUGAUGAACCUAGAAACUGCUACAAUGGCUUCUAGAAGAAUUUGUGGCCCGAAAUGGAAAUUGGAAAGUCAUUAAUAGAGCGCUUGCUUUGAAUGUUAACCUCUGCAAAAGAGGAGUGAUGGUGGAUAGGAGGUGCCACCUUUGUGGGAAUGCUGAUGAAGAUGAAGAUGAAGAUGAAUGCUGAUGAAGAUGAAGAUGAAGAUGAAGAUGAAGGCCAUUUAUUCAGAGAAUGUAUCAUCUUAAGAGAUCUAAUGGAAGCUGGCACUACUCUCUAAGAAUCAUUGUAGAGCAAUAUGCAAACUACUACAGGAUGGAAAAGACGGAUCAAUUGAGAUUGCUGGGUACGUUAUUUGGUUCCCGCUGUCUGAACUCUGAACUCUGAACUCUGAACUCUGAAGUGAAGAGUCAACCUCCGACUCAAGGAAAUAUUCUGAUAGAGGAAAUUAAGAUAAAAACUCCACAUUUGAGGUACUUAAAUUAUCAUAUCUAAGACCAUUCUGAUUUCUGAAUCAGGGGUUUUAUGAUAAAAACUCCACAUUUGAGGUACUUCAAUUAUCAUAUCUAAGACCAUUCUGAAUCAGGGGUUUUAUGAUAAAAACUCCACAUUUGAGGUACUUGAAUUAUCAUAUCUAAAACCAUUCUGAACGGUACUUGUCUUAAACUCUUGACAGCUUUUGCAGAGAUCUCAUGCUAUUCACUCCAGGAGGCAUUUGUCUUAAACUCGAUCCAGCAAUACCGAUCAAAUCCUCCUUGAUCCUUUGGGAAUAUAUUGCAAUAGCUAAAGCAACUCUUCAAAUGGAACGGAAGAUAAUAAUAGCUAAUUUUCAAAACAUGUACAAUGCCAUUUAUGAUUUAUCUCAUCUUGUUUUAUGUUUGUCAA